GACGAACGCUGGCGGCUUGCUUAACACAUGCAAGUCGAACGGAAAGGCCCUGCUUUUGUGGGGUGCUCGAGUGGCGAACGGGUGAGUAACACGUGAGUAACCUGCCCUUGACUUUGGGAUAACUUCAGGAAACUGGGGCUAAUACCGGAUAGGAGCUCCUGCUGCAUGGUGGGGGUUGGAAAGUUUCGGCGGUUGGGGAUGGACUCGCGGCUUAUCAGCUUGUUGGUGGGGUAGUGGCUUACCAAGGCUUUGACGGGUAGCCGGCCUGAGAGGGUGACCGGCCACAUUGGGACUGAGAUACGGCCCAGACUCCUACGGGAGGCAGCAGUGGGGAAUAUUGCACAAUGGGCGGAAGCCUGAUGCAGCAACGCCGCGUGCGGGAUGACGGCCUUCGGGUUGUAAACCGCUUUCGCCUGUGACGAAGCGUGAGUGACGGUAAUGGGUAAAGAAGCACCGGCUAACUACGUGCCAGCAGCCGCGGUGAUACGUAGGGUGCGAGCGUUGUCCGGAUUUAUUGGGCGUAAAGGGCUCGUAGGUGGUUGAUCGCGUCGGAAGUGUAAUCUUGGGGCUUAACCCUGAGCGUGCUUUCGAUACGGGUUGACUUGAGGAAGGUAGGGGAGAAUGGAAUUCCUGGUGGAGCGGUGGAAUGCGCAGAUAUCAGGAGGAACACCAGUGGCGAAGGCGGUUCUCUGGGCCUUUCCUGACGCUGAGGAGCGAAAGCGUGGGGAGCGAACAGGCUUAGAUACCCUGGUAGUCCACGCUGUAAACGGUGGGUACUAGGUGUGGGGUCCAUUCCACGGGUUCCGUGCCGUAGCUAACGCUUUAAGUACCCCGCCUGGGGAGUACGGCCGCAAGGCUAAAACUCAAAGGAAUUGACGGGGCCCCGCACAAGCGGCGGAGCAUGCGGAUUAAUUCGAUGCAACGCGUAGAACCUUACCUGGGUUUGACAUGGAUCGGGAGUGCUCAGAGAUGGGUGUGCCUCUUUUGGGGUCGGUUCACAGGUGGUGCAUGGCUGUCGUCAGCUCGUGUCGUGGGAUGUUGGGUUAAGUCCCGCAACGAGCGCAACCCUUGUUCACUGUUGCCAGCACGUUAUGGUGGGGACUCAGUGGAGACCGCCGGGGUCAACUCGGAGGAAGGUGGGGAUGACGUCAAGUCAUCAUGCCCCUUAUGUCCAGGGCUUCACGCAUGCUACAAUGGCUGGUACAGAGAGUGGCGAGCCUGUGAGGGUGAGCGAAUCUCGGAAAGCCGGUCUCAGUUCGGAUUGGGGUCUGCAACUCGACCUCAUGAAGUCGGAGUCGCUAGUAAUCGCAGAUCAGCAACGCUGCGGUGAAUACGUUCCCGGG
rnacentral:rRNA from 1 species